AACGCGAAGAACCUUACCAGGACUUGACAUCCAACUAACGAAGUAGAGAUACAUCAGGUGCCCUUCGGGGAAAGUCGAGACAGGUGGUGCAUGGUUGUCGUCAGCUCGUGUCGUGAGAUGUUGGGUUAAGUCCCGCAACGAGCGCAACCCUUGCUGUUAGUUGCUACGCAAGAGCACUCUAACAGGACUGCCGUUGACAAGACGGAGGAAGGUGGGGACGACGUCAAAUCAUCAUGCCCCUUAUGACCUGGGCUACACACGUACUACAAUGGCCGUCAACAGAGGGAAGCAAAGCCGCGAGGCAGAGCAAACCCCCAAAAACGGUCCCAGUUCGGACUGCAGGCUGCAACCCGCCUGCACGAAGUUGGAAUUGCUAGUAAUCGCAGAUCAGCAUGCUGCGGUGAAUACGUUCCCGGGUCUUGUACACACGC
rnacentral:rRNA from 1 species